rnacentral:rRNA from 1 species
UACAGAGGGUGCGAGCGUUAAUCGGAAUUACUGGGCGUAAAGCGUGCGUAGACGGUUAUUUAAGUCGGGUGUGAAAGCCCCGGGCUCAACCUGGGAAUUGCAUUCGAGACUGAAUAGCUAGGGUACGGUAGAGGGAAGCGGAAUUUCCGGUGUAGCGGUGAAAUGCGCAGAUAUCGGGAGGAACACCAAUGGCGAAGGCAGCUCGCUGGGACGUUACUGACGCUGAGACGCGAAAGCGUGGGGAGCAAACAGG